CUCGGAAAUCUCACCAUGGUCUGGACUCUGCUUUCCCUUGUACUGUUUAGUUACUGCUCAGGUGUCACUUCACAGCCGACUUUGACGCAGCCUGCUUCACAAUCUGCGCCCCUGAGAAAUACGGCUAAACUCUCCUGCACGGUCAGCGGCAGCAUGGCUACCAUUUACUGGUAUCAACAGAGAGCUGGCCAAGCACCUCGACUUGUCCUCUAUGGUACCAGCAGCAGGGGAGACGGGAUCCCGGAUCGGUUUACUGGUUCUACUGCUGGGAACAUCGGCUAUUUAACCAUCACUAAUGCCCAGGCUGAAGACGAGGCAGAUUAUUACUGUGGCAUGUGGUAUGAUAGCAGCGCUUGGAAGUUUCACAGUGGUUAA